rnacentral:lncRNA from 1 species
GGGAAGAAGGGUGUAGAGUCUUUCCCAUUCUUUCCCAACCAGCCGGCUACCACUUCAUGGCAGCCACCAUCUUCUUAUCUCAUUCCCUUUCUCAUUCCUCGUUAAAUUCUUUAAAAACUUCCAACACCCAACUUGAUUUUCUAUUUAGAAAACUAUCUUCCAAACUCAUUUUCUCCAUCAUCUUAACCAAAUUUCAACAAGGGUUUAUGGGUUUAUGAGAGAGAAAAUGGAAGUCAGAGAGAGAAAGCUUCGUUAAGGUAAAAUAUGCUGAAUUCCAUCUAUCCUAACUUAUUAUUUGAUUUUAGUUAUUGAAUAAAAGUUUGGGAAGCUUGGAUAUUGAUUUGUGUUUAUUAAAAAUGAGGAAAUGUUGAUCUUUGGAUUUCCAAGUUAGGAAGCGGAUGAAAACAAGUAUUUGGAAGCUUGAUUUUGUGUUUAAAGAGCAUGAAAGAGGUAACUACCAUUGCAUUUUCAUACUUUUUCUUAGAAAAGAUUAAGUAUGAACUAAAAAAAAAAGUUUAGUUAAUAAUUGAAGAUAAGUGUAUGGAAUAUGAAACCAUGGUUUAUGGUAUUUAAAUUAGUUAAUAAAACAUGCUAAGUGUAUUGCUAUUAAGGUUAUGUUAAACUAGUGAUAGUUAGUUGUGAAAAUGGUAUAAAACCUUAAAUACCACGGCGUUAUUAGAGAAGAGUGAUAUGAUGAAAUAAAUGUAAUUGUUGUUUAAGGUAACUGAAUAUUCAAAUAAUUGAGUAAAAAAAUCAUGAAUGUGUGUUAAAUGACUAUUUUAUUAAAUAAUGUAAUUCGAAAGAAAUUAUGCAUCAUAAAUUUUUCAUCUCUUAAAAAAAGUGCUUCUGGACCAAUUUUUGGCUUGAGAGAAAUACUUUUUUUCUCAAAAAGUAACUUGUUUAGGGAUGUUUUUUUGUCUCAAAAGUGCUUCUUAGAAACAAUACUAAACACACUCUAAAUAUGAAUAAUCUUUAUGUCCAAUAAGAGGCAAUAAAUGUCUUAUUUCAAUAAGACUACUAAAAACCCAUGCUAACAUUUACAUGAAUGAGUAUUGGUGAUAAAGCUCAACUACAUGGGAAAUAAACAUUGAAAGAUUAUAAAUUGGCAAUAAGAUGGCUAGUAGGCACUUGGAAAUGUGAUCCUAGUAAUACGAAGGAAACUUGUUAUAAUAAGAAUGCCUAGUUAAAUAAGAUUGAAAUUGAAUUUGUUCAAUGUUCAAAAGUGUUAAAUAGCUAGGAUACGAUUCACAAGCCAAUAAGGAUGCAUGCGUCUGGAUCAUAGGUGAUGUGAUUUCGAUCGUGUUUAAAGCCUUAAGGUGUAGCACUCUUGUGCAUUAAUAAGAAUGAGUAUUUUGGAAUGAUUGGUUGGUUAGUCCUGAAUAUCCGAUCUUGAAUUUGCUAAGCUUACUAAGGGUGAGACAUUAAACGAUUGUGCUAAUAAGAAUUAAACAUGAAUAAGUCCUACUAUUUGUGGGAUGGAAAAAUGGAAUAAGUUAAUCAAACAAAUAAAGGAUUAUUAAAGGUAAACAACUAAAAGUGACUAAGAAAUUGGCUAUUGAGAAAUGGUAUUAAACCUAUAAAUGUGAAACGUCAAGGAGAACUUGCACUAUAAGCUUUCCUCCUAAUGAUUAUGUGGUUAAUUAAUGGAGGAAACUAUGUGGAUGAAAUGUUAAAUGUAAGGCAUGAUCUAUUAAUGGUACUAAAAAAUUCAUGAGAUAAGUAAGCGUUAUACAUUAAUAUAUAAAUUUUCUCAGAAGUGAUUGCCUCAACAUUGAUGCACAAAUGGAGUAAAGGAUGCGUAUCUAGUUGGUUGAGUCUUGAAACAAAUUCAAGAAUGUGUAAACUCACACCUUUGCAAAUGUGUUUAAUUGGACAUGUUAAACACAAAACAUGUAAGUCUAAAAGACUCAACAUUGGUAAGGAAUAAGGUGAAGUAGGAAAAUCCUAGUGUACUUACUAAGCUCUGUGAGUUUAACGUAUUAGUUGUUUUAAAACGCAUAGGUAAUGGAUUCAAUGAGAAGUAUAAGGUUCGGGCUUGGUAGCUUCAUAUCAUCAACCAUCAUGAUGUUGUACAUUAUUGUUUUGGAUGUCUUUGUUAUUAGAAAUUGGCAAGUAUACAAAGAUUUAGAUUGGUUUUGAAGUUGUAAGAAAUUUGAUCUGAAAUUCAAGUUGUUUAAUUUAAUUAAUUAAGCUUCAUUCCGAUAUUUGACUUGAUUAUGUUUAUGCUUUGUAUUAGGAGUUUUAACAUGUUUGAAUUUGAUUUUUAAGUACUUUAGAACAUAAGGAAAUGAUAUGGUGAUGUUUGGAAAUGUUUUUAAGGUGUUUUUAGCAUAUUUUUCAGCUUUGGCCUAAGGUUCGGUACCUCAGGUAUCACCCCUGGUUUGGUAGAAUGCUCCAUUGGAUAGUACAAGGAUCUAGGUUUGGACCCCGAAGGCCUUAGGUAUCAAUACCUGGGGUCUUGACAGUGCUACUACAUUGUUUUGUAAAAAUUGAGCCCUCCAAUAUUCGAAUAUGGUCCCAAGCACCUCUAAACACAUUUCAAUUGAUUUAGAAUGGGUUUAACAAUAUUUUAAAACUUAAAAAUUGAUUUUAUAUAUUUUUUAUGAUUUUAUAAAAAUAUUUUCUUAAUUAAUUUAUUAAAUAAAUUUGAGAUUUUUGACAUAAAAGUAGUUCGGUGGCAUCCUCCAUUUGUACCGGUUACCGAAACGAGUGAGGAGUGUUACAUUAUCAAUGUACUUGGACUACUCAAGUAUAGAAGUUAUUGAUGACAUGUCCUAAUAUGAAAAAAUAAGGCGAAAAAAACUUGAAUUUCAAGGUUUUUUGGAUUAGUUUCCAAGGUUUUCAAGGAUUUUUUUAUUUCACGAGAGAUUUCACAUUGGAUUGUUUUCUCUACUCCAAGAUUAUGUUUUUGUAUAUUUUUAAAAUAAUAAAAAAAUUUAAAAUAUUUAUUUUGUAAUAUUUUAAAAAAUUGUUAAUUUUUUAAUAGAAAUUUAAUUAAAUAAUAUGAUAUUAGUUUAAAUAUGACACUUAAUUGGAUUUUAAGAUAACUUGAUUUUUUUAUCAUAUUCACAAAUGUGACAUUAUUUUAAAUUAGCACAAUAUGAAUGAUAUUUUUUUUGAAACUUAAUCUCAUUAUAGGUUGUUAUAAUAUUUGUUCAUUUUUAUAUAAUGUCUAGAACUAUUUAUGGUACAUUCUCAACUCUUAAAUAGAAGGAUAAUGCGUUUCAAAAUACACGAACUCAUGACUUCUUACACUGUCAAUAAUUCUAAUGCUAAUCGAGUUAAGACUUAAUCGACCGAUACAAAUGAUAUUAAAUACUCUUCUUGUUCAGCAAGUUUUGGACGUAUGUUAAGGAAUUUUUAAAAAAUGAAAAAUUUUAAAUAUAUUUUCUUUUUUUCCUUGAAAUUUUUAGAUUUAGAACUAAAUUGAUAAAUUUUGUAAAUGUUAAACGUUAAAUUUACUGAAUUUUCAUAAAUCAAAUUAAAAUGAUAAAUUUUGUAAACAUUGACUGUUAAAUUUAUUGAACUUUUUAGAGUUAAGAUCAAAUUGAUAAAAUGUAUAAACAUUGGAGGGUUAAAUUUGUUAUUAGACCAAUAAAAAAAAGGCUUAUAUCAACUUUUUAUAACUCAUCUAAUGGGAUGAUGAUUAAAAUAUUUAAUCUUAAAAAGUUGAGUGAUCAAUAAAAAAAUUAAUUGUUUGAUGAUCAAAAUAGAACUCAAGGUAUAGUUGGAUCAAGGUAUAGUUGGAUGAUUAUUUUUAUAGUUUAUUCUAAAAAAACAAACAUACUACACACCAAAAACUUUUAUUGGAGUAGAAUAAGAGAUGCAUUCAAAGCUCCUAACAGUACUAUUAGACGGACAUUAUACAUUUGUUCUCUUUCUUUUUAGAAUUUUUUUAAAUAUAAAAAAAUAUUAAUGUGUAUAUAUCAUGUUAUCAUAUGUUUAAAUAUAUAUAUAUCAAAUUAUUUGAAUAAGGUAUAUUUGUUAAAUCCUUUUGUAAGAUUCAACCUUAAAUGUAACAUGAU